rnacentral:rRNA from 1 species
AUUGAACGCUGGCGGCAGGCUUAACACAUGCAAGUCGAGCGAGCGGCGGACGGGUGAGUAAUGGCUGGGAAACUGCCAGAUGGAGGGGGAUAACUACUGGAAACGGUAGCUAAUACCGCAUACCAUCAGAUGUGCCCAGAUGGGAUUAGCUAGGAGGGGGGGUAAUGGCUCACCUAGGCGACGAUCCCUAGCUGGUCUGAGCGGAUGACCAGCCACACUGGAACUGAGACACGGUCCAGACUGCUACGGGAGGCAGCAGUGGGGAAGAUUGCACAAUGGGCGCAAGCCUGAUGCAGCCAGUCCGCGUGUGUGAAGAAGGCCGUCGGGUUGUAAAGCACGUUCAGCGAGGAGGCGUUACUCGCAGAAGAAGCACCGGCUAACUCCGUGCCAGCAGCCGCGGUAAUUC